UUCAAGCUCUGACUCAAAGAGGGUGCAUGAUGCAGCCCCGCACUGGAGCAGGAGCCGAGCAAGAUACGUGCAGUGUGGCGGGCAGUAUUGGCCAAGAUCGGGCCUGAAGUGAACUUUGUGGCUUGAAGAUUCCCGAGCAGCAGCAGUCCUUUUUGAGAAGUGGGAUAAUUUGUUUUUGGCAAUACACUGUUUCUUUUUUCCGCGGGUGAGAAGAAAAAAAAAGUGUGGGAAAAAGCUUUGGAAAUCUUGCAAGACCUCUUGGACAUAGACUAUGUGUUACAAAACAUAUUUUUGACGAGUUAAGUGUUAACCAACCAAAAACAGACAGAUUGUCCUUCCCAUGUUAGCUUCAAAAUGCAGCAGGGGAAGCGACCAUUACUGAACACCCUGUGAAGUUGCCGAACCCUGUCAUUUUCAAAAGCUUGUCAAAAAGCCCAGAGCACAGAGGCCAGAACGGAGUUACUUGUCCCUUUCUGCAGGAUGUGAGUGCAGCCUUCUGGGUGAGCGAGCCGGAGAGAAGAAGAAAGAAAGAAAGAAAAAAGAACAAUACCAAAUCAAAGGACUCCAACUGUCAGUGAAGGGUGGUCCAGAAUAAAACUUUCAAAGGAGAAAAAGAUUCAUUUUAAACCAUAAUGAAUUCUCUUUGUCAUUGAAAAUUCAUCUAAAGACAUAUUCCAUGACUACUUUUGACAGGCAAUGAUCUGAAUAUGUGAUGUGCAGAGACAUUAUUUCUUGUCCUCCAAAAGCUCUUAAGGACUUCGGGAAGAAAUGGAUCUGUUAUGCUGGGAUCAAGCCAGACCUUUGCACGUAUUAGGUAUGCACUGUUCCACUGAACUAUACUCCCAACCCCAGGGUCCUAUUUCUUCAAGAUUCAGUGUUGGGAUGUGAUAUGAAGAGCAAGAAGAUGACAGGAUGUGAGGCACAAAUGUGGAGGCUACAAGGAUCCCUGAUUGAAGCAUCUCCUCCCACCCUCACUCCUCAGCACCAACUCUGCAUCACGGAUAACUGCAGGACCCCUCUGGGAGGGUCAGGAAUGCCUCUGAAUGAGUCAUGCUUGAAGACUAAUAGUCUAGUAGAAAAGAGGCCAAAUUAAUGUAGCUCAUUAAAGUACUUUGUCGAAUGC